rnacentral:rRNA from 1 species
GGUCUGUAGACCGUGACGUUAUCUUUCCGGGCCAAGUUCCUUGGAAAAGGACAGCAGAGAGGGUGACACUCCCGUCUGCCUGGUGGAAUGAGUCGCGUGUCGACGAGUCGAGUUGUUUGGGAUUGCAGCUCUAAUUGGGUGGUAAAUUCCAUCUAAAGYUGAAUAUUGGUGGGAGACCGAUAGCGUACAAGUACCGUGAGGGAAAGAUGCAAAGAACUUUGAAAAGAGAGUUAAAGAGUACCUGAAAUUGCUGAAACGGAAGCGAAGGAAACCAGUGUCUGGUUGGAUCAUACUUCCCUUGCCACCUGUGGUCUGGGCGCUGUGGUCCCUCCGUGUGUCUGCCUUGGUUGUGCCCUCUGGAAGAGCCCCGUCGGAGUUGACGACGGCCGC